CCCUGGCCCGCGCCGCUGCCCUACUGACAUUCACAAGUAUAUUGGCGUCUAUCGUCCUGCUGCUGAUGCAUCCAAACAGUAAGAAAACAUUAGAAAAAUAUUACAGCACUAUAAUUAUUAAAUCUUUAUAUCACUAUAGAAAAUAAUGCAAUAAACUUUUGUAUAAAACAACUGGUGCUCCACAAAUAUGCCAAUAUGUUAGAUAUAAGUUAACAAUAUGUACAUUUAUAGAUAGUAAAAUUAAAGAUUCAGUCAAAUAAUCUAUGUUUAUUAUACAUAUAUCAGAUCUUACGAAUCUGAUAUACUAUACAUAUAUAUACGAAAUAGAGAUCAUAGAAUAAAAAACACUAAAUCACAUACGUAUCUGAAAUAUGGCAUUUAUCUAUAUUUAAAUGUAAAUUUAUAUGUAUAUAACAACAAUUAGGGCCUUUCUCACCAAAUUGUGAAUCCUCUGAUUUGGUUCCCUUAUCUGACAGGUACGUCAUUUUUAAGUUAUCUGAGCCUCUAUCAGUCAGUGGUGGGAUAGGCCCUUAAUUUAAUAUUUUCGUAACGGCAAUAAUUAGAUUCUCAAUUGACAGCAAUUUUCCUUAUGGUCAAAUUGACCAUAAGUGCAAGGUUAGCUUUUCUAAAUAUAAAAAUCGUGUCAUGUUUUGGUUGUGAUCAUUAUUGCAAUGGAUAUUUCUGAUAUGUCUGUCAUACAACGAAUUAUUUAAAUUCACGGUUACUUCAUAGUGCAUAAUUUUUUGUGGUAUUAGUGGAUAUCGAAAUUUAUUUAAAAAUGUGCCAAUUUUAUUAACGUCAGUUAAAUUGCGAUUAAUGUUUUUUUUUAAAUAAUAAAGACAUUGUCUUAGUUUAAAAUAAGAGUUAAAAUAAUAUACGCAUAUGGAAUUGAGAUAGUGCAAUGUAUGUAAGGUAAUUACUGUCUUUUUAACAUAAGGUGCUAUUUCACUGUCCGUGCCUCGAUAGUAUUUAUGUAAGUUUUAUAAUAUCUUGUAUUAUAAUAGAGUAAUUAUAUAGAAUAUAGAAAUAAUUGUAAAUAGUUCAAAUGUUAGAUUAUUGUAAGAUUUCUAUGGCAAAAGUUAUUGCCGCAAUUCAAGCAUUUUCUGUCGUAUCACUAAAACAUAUCACAUACCAAUUUUACACUAGUUACAUAUUUCGAUAUAUUCAGUAACCAGAUAAAAGAUUUAAAAAAAAUAACCUUAAAAGUUAAUAACUUUUUGCACACUGCAAGCGAUAUCUUCGCUAUAAGAAUUUUUCAUCACCUUAGUAUUGCCAUAUGCCAUUUUCCAUUUCUAACAUUUGUUUUAUAUCUUGAAAAAAUAAUAUUUACAUAGUUUAUUAUACAAUAACUUAUAUUUCCAAUACUAAUGCACACUUUAUUCACACUUAAUGGCAAUAAUGAUAUAUAAAUAUAUUUCUAGUAGAAUAAGAUUAAUUUUUACAAUUUAAUAAAGCUGUUAUAAAUAGUAUGUUGAAACAAAUAACUAUCAGUUUUAAGAAUCUUUUUGUAGGUGUUAAGUAUGGUGACCUUGAAAUCUAUCUUGAUUUUGUAAUUUGCUGAAAAUGUAAUAUAUUGCUUGUAAAUCUAUAUUACAUUGGUUUAGUAUUCAGAUCAAAACAAUUUUGAAACUUACAAAUUAGUAUAGCUUGUGUUACGCAUUAACUGUGCAGCGAACUUUACGACUUUACAAUUAUCUUGUAAAAAGAUAAAAAAGGCUUUUUAGAAAUGUUUAAGCAUUUUAUUUGUAGGCGAUUCUUUUGUACCAGUGUCAUAAAUCAGUUUUCUAUUCAAAAUGACUACGAAAUUUGUAAAUAAUUUAAUUUUGUAUACGUUUAUAAAUAUUUAUAAUUUAAAUUACAUUUAUUAAAAUAUAAUUUUUUAACAAAUGUAAUUAUAUUAUCUGUUUUUCUUUAAUGAUGUACGUGUGAAUAAUUUUGAUAGAUUUUAAAAAUUAUUGACUCCAUCUAGUUGUAAUUAUAAUUAACGAAGUUGUGUUGCGUUUGCAAUUGGUAGCUUUUGUAAGUGGUAGCUUUAGUAUCACUAAGUUGACUUUGACACCGUUGCCUUAAUAUGUUGUAAUUGGUACUAAUAUUGACUGAUUUGAGAUUUUUUUUAUAAAAUAAAACUUCUGUACCUGUUU